rnacentral:rRNA from 1 species
GGGAGGUAGUGACAAUAAAUAACAAUACGGGGUUCUUUCGGAUCUCGUAAUUGGAAUGAGUACAAUUUAAAUCUCUUAACGAGGAACAAUUGGAGGGCAAGUCUGGUGCCAGCAGCCGCGGUAAUUCCAGCUCCAAUAGCGUAUAUUAAAGUUGUUGCAGUUAAAAAGCUCGUAGUUGAAUUUCGGGGUCAGCAGGUUGGUCGUGCCAAUGGUAUGAACUGGCCUUGCUGAUUCCUCCCUCUUGAUGAGCCGUAAUGCCAUUAAUUUGGUGUUGCGGGGAAUCAGGACUGUUACUUUGAAAAAAUUAGAGUGUUUAAAGCAGGCAAGCGCUUGAAUACAUUAGCAUGGAAUAAUGAAAUAGGACGUUUGAUCCUAUUUUGUUGGUUUCUAGGAUUGACGUAAUGAUUAAAUAGGGAUAGUUGGG